rnacentral:rRNA from 1 species
AGAGUUUGAUCCUGGCUCAGAUUGAACGCUGGCGGCAGGCCUAACACAUGCAAGUCGAGCGGUAACAGGUCUUCGGAUGCUGACGAGUGGCGAACGGGUGAGUAAUACAUCGGAACGUGCCCGAUCGUGGGGGAUAACGGAGCGAAAGCUUUGCUAAUACCGCAUACGAUCUACGGAUGAAAGCAGGGGACCGCAAGGCCUUNCGCGGACGGAGCGGCCGAUGGCAGAUUAGGUAGUUGGUGGGAUAAAAGCUUACCAAGCCGACGAUCUGUAGCUGGUCUGAGAGGACGACCAGCCACACUGGGACUGAGACACGGCCCAGACUCCUACGGGAGGCAGCAGUGGGGAAUUUUGGACAAUGGGGGCAACCCUGAUCCAGCCAUGCCGCGUGAGUGAAGAAGGCCUUCGGGUUGUAAAGCUCUUUCGGUGGGAACGAAACGGGUGCGGCUAAUACCCGCAUUUAAUGACGGUACCUACAGAAGAAGCACCGGCUAACUACGUGCCAGCAGCCGCGGUAAUACGUAGGGUGCGAGCGUUAAUCGGAAUUACUGGGCGUAAAGCGUGCGCAGGCGGCGCGUUAAGACAGGUGUGAAAGCCCCNAGCUUAACUUGGGAAUUGCGCUUGUGACUGGCCNANCUGGAGUGUGGCANANGGAGGUGGAAUUCCACGUGUAGCAGUGAAAUGCGUAGAGAU